rnacentral:rRNA from 1 species
UUAUGGCUCAGGAUGAACGCUGGCGGCGUGCCUAACACAUUCAAGUCGAACGGACUGAUUCGGUAGUAAUACUGAUGAAGUUAGUGGCGACGGGUGAGUAACGCGUGAGGAACCUGCCUCUGUGAGCGGGAUAACGCCGGAAACAGACGCUAAUACCGCAUGAACCGACAGUACCGCAUGGUGCAAUCGGCAAAAGAACUUCGCACAGAGAUGGCCUCGCGUCCGAUUAGAUAGUUGGCGGGGCAACGGCCCACCAAGUCUGCGAUCGGUAGCCGGACUGAGAGGUUGAACGGCCACAUUGGAACUGAGAUACGGUCCAGACUCCUACGGGAGGCAGCAGUGGGGAAUAUUGGGCAAUUGGGCGAAAGCCUGACCCAGCGACGCCGCGUGAGGGAAGAAGGUCUUCGGAUUGUAAACCUUAAACAACGGGGACGAAACAAAUGACGGUACCCGUUAGGAAGCCACGGCUAACUACGUGCCAGCAGCUGC